rnacentral:rRNA from 1 species
AAUGGACGCAAGUCUGAACCAGCCAUGCCGCGUGCAGGAAGACGGUCUCUGGAUUGUAAACUGCUUUUAUUUGGGAAUAACCCCUCUACGUGUGAGGGCUGAAGGUACCAAAAGAAUAAGCACCGGCUAACUCCGUGCCAGCAGCCGCGGUAAUACGGAGGGUGCAAGCGUUAUCCGGAAUCAUUGGGUUUAAAGGGUCCGCAGGCGGACUUAUAAGUCAGUGGUGAAAGCCCAUCGCUUAACGAUGGAACUGCCAUUGAUACUGUAAGUCUUGAAUUCGGUCGAAGUAGGCGGAAUAUGACAUGUAGCGGUGAAAUGCUUAGAUAUGUCAUAGAACACCGAUAGCGAAGGCAGCUUACUAGGCCUGGAUUGACGCUCAUGGACGAAAGCGUGGGGAGCGAACAGGAUU